AAACUAAAUGGCUGCAGUAACUAUGACUGUAUGAAUGUAGCAUAAUCACUCGCCACUUAAUUAGUGGAUAGUAUGAAUGGUUAAACGAAAAUUUCUCUGUCUUAUGUAAUAAAAAAAAAAUUUAAAUCAUAGUUAAGAUGUAUGUAACAUUGUAAGACGAAAAGACCCUAUAAAGCUUAACUAUAGUCUUUUAUGUUAAUUUAUAAACAUUAAUUUAAUAAAAGAUUGGUAGUUUCAUUGGGGCGAUGAUCUCUAAAAAAUAACAGAGAUAAGCUAAAUUAAUAUAAUAAUUUACUGUUUAAUAAAUAAAUUUAACAGUUACAAAGUAGGCUAUAAAGACCCGUUAUUGUCAAAAAAAANAAAUAAUGAUCAAAAAAUAAAAGCUACUUUAGGGAUAACAGGAUAAUUUUUUCUUAGAGUUCUUAUCGAAGAAAAAGUUUAUUACCUCGAUGUUGAAUUGAGAUAACCUAAUGAUGCAGC
rnacentral:rRNA from 1 species